GAUGAACGCUGGCGGCGUGCUUAACACAUGCAAGUCGAACGGUGAACGAGGGAGCUUGCUCCCUCCGGAUCAGUGGCGAACGGGUGAGUAACACGUGAGCAAUCUGCCCCGAACUCUGGGAUAAGCGCUGGAAACGGCGUCUAAUACCGGAUACGACGCGCGAAGGCAUCUUCUGCGCGUGGAAAGAAUUUCGGUUCGGGAUGAGCUCGCGGCCUAUCAGCUAGUUGGUGAGGUAACGGCUCACCAAGGCGACGACGGGUAGCCGGCCUGAGAGGGUGACCGGCUACACUGGGACUGAGACACGGCCCAGACUCCUACGGGAGGCAGCAGUGGGGAAUAUUGCACAAUGGGCGCAAGCCUGAUGCAGCAACGCCGCGUGAGGGACGACGGCCUUCGGGUUGUAAACCUCUUUUAGCAGGGAAGAAGCGAAAGUGACGGUACCUGCAGAAAAAGCACCGGCUAACUACGUGCCAGCCGCCGCGGUAAGAC
rnacentral:rRNA from 1 species